GGGGCAGUUUUGGUUUCGACAGCAAUUACUAGCUAAGACGGCAAGUAGUAGGCAUACUUAAAAUGCAAACCUUAAAAUUAAAUGACGAAGACUAUUCGUUUGCUUCUUAUGCUCCAGUAGCAGCCUAACAGUAGGUAAAAAGAAGGCUUUUAUUCACUUUCUCUUAUAGGGUGUUUAAAGGUUCAUAAAUAUAAGAUAUAUAAAAUUAUUUUCCUUAAAUAAUUUUACGAAUUAAAAUAAGGAUCGUAUACUUUUUUGGUGUGUUGGAUCCAUAGAGUAUAUUAAAGAAAUUCCAACUAAACUUGUAGAGGUUUUUUCAUAGGAUUGUUUGGACAGGAGUUCGACUCUCCUCUGCUCCACCA
rnacentral:tmRNA from 1 species